GAGGUCCAGCCUGCCCAGUGACCCAUGUUCAACGGCCGCGGUAUCCUAACCGUGCGAAGGUAGCGUAAUCACUUGUUCUUUAAAUGGGGACUAGUAUGAAUGGCAUCACGAGGGUUACACUGUCUCCUUUUUUAAAUCAGUGAAACUAAUCUCCCCGUGAAGAAGCGGGGAUAAAACUAUAAGACGAGAAGACCCUAUGGAGCUUUAAACCUCCCUUCAAGUGCCAGCUACCCUUUUCUACACUAACUUUAACACUAUGAAGCCAAGUUUUAGGUUGGGGUGACCGCGGGGCACAAAAAAACCCCCACGUUGAACCAGGCCUCUAGACCUUGAGCAAUGGACUACGAUCCUAUGCACCAAAAAAUUUACAUCAAUUGACCCAUUAAUUUGAUCAACGAACCAAGUUACCCUAGGGAUAACAGCGCAAUCUACUUCAAGAGCUCCUAUCGACAAGUGGGUUUACGACCUCGAUGUUGGAUCAGGGUGUCCCAGUGGUGCAGCCGCUACUAAUGGUUCGUUUGUUCAACGAUUAAAACCCU
rnacentral:rRNA from 1 species